GCCCUGCUGCCAGCUGCUCAGCGCUGGUCACUGCCUGUGAGAAGGAUGGGCCCAUCAGCACAGCUGAGCGCGGCUGUUCAUCACCCAGCACGUGCAGGGUGGGCUUGGCAGUGACCUUGAGCACUGUACCAGCAGCACUUGGCCAAGCCACUGAUAAUGUCCAUCCCUUAUCUCCAGGCCAAUGAAUUUUUAGGAAGAUGAACUGAAUACCAUUUACAUAAAUCAGAAAGUAUUGAUGGUUGUGUUUCCAGGUGUUGGGACCAUCUAUGAAGGAAGCUAUAAGGCAGCUUUCAUGUAUGAGGACUCAAUGAAGCAGAAAAACAAUGUUAGUCUUUGGUGGCCAGGGAAAAGGAGGAAAGCUCGUGGUGGUCUCCAGAUGAUCUGGCCCUGACUGAAGCAAUCUCCUUCCACGAGGAGGGAGCAAAGGGCUGGCAAGUGCAGGCUGUUGGAGAGGACUUCUGGCUUUUUUACAGGGUACCUGACUGUCUUAUUGCAUACUGGUGUCAUCCAGGGCAUCCAACAUGAAGAUCUCUAAUGUUAAUGAUAAAGAAAAUUACUUCCCUGUAAUCGGGAUUGGAGUGAGCACAAGUGGCAUCACUGUUCUGUCAGGUGUAUCAAUUUCCAAAGACUGGAAGAGCUCAGUUCUCUGUAUUCAAAAGACUGAAUUUUUGAAGAUUUUGAACCUUAGAAGUUACAGAACUUGCUGCUUUGAAGUUUUGUCAGAAGUCUGAAAAAUUACGCUUUGUUUCUUGAGUUACCUGUAAGAGACGACAGAGUUCUCCCAAGAAACAUGUAUUUGUAAGGAUUUCCUGUGAAUGAAAAGGAUUUUAUUGAAGGCAGAGUAGUCCUCACAA